UACAGAGGUCUCAAGCGUUGUUCGGAUUCAUUGGGCGUAAAGGGUGUGUAGGUGGCGCCGUAAGUCGGGUGUGAAAUUUCGGAGCUUAACUCCGAAACUGCAUUCGAUACUGCGGUGCUUGAGGACUGGAGAGGAGACUGGAAUUCAUGGUGUAGCAGUGAAAUGCGUAGAGAUCAUGAGGAAGACCAGUGGCGAAGGCGGGUCUCGUGGACAGUUCCUGACACUGAGAGCACGAAGGCCAGGGGAGCAAAACGGG
rnacentral:rRNA from 1 species